UACGUAGGGGGCGAGCGUUGUUCGGAUUUACUGGGCGUAAAGAGCGCGUAGGUGGUUCGAUAAGUCGGAGGUGAAAUCCCUCGGCUCAACCGAGGAUCCGCGUCCGAUACUGUCGGACUUGAGUGCAGGAGAGGAGAGCGGAAUUCCCAAUGUAGCGGUGAAAUGCGUAGAUAUUGGGAGGAACACCGGUGGCGAAGGCGGCUCUCUGGACUGCUACUGACACUGAGGAGCGAAAGCUAGGGGAGCAAACGGG
rnacentral:rRNA from 1 species